rnacentral:rRNA from 1 species
GACGAACGCUGGCGGCGUGCUUAACACAUGCAAGUCGAACGGAAAGGCCCUGCUUUUGUGGGGUGCUCGAGUGGCGAACGGGUGAGUAACACGUGAGUAACCUGCCCUUGACUUUGGGAUAACUUCAGGAAACUGGGGCUAAUACCGGAUAGGAGCUCCUGCUGCAUGGUGGGGGUUGGAAAGUUUCGGCGGUUGGGGAUGGACUCGCGGCUUAUCAGCUUGUUGGUGGGGUAGUGGCUUACCAAGGCUUUGACGGGUAGCCGGCCUGAGAGGGUGACCGGCCACAUUGGGACUGAGAUACGGCGCAGACUCCUACGGGAGGCAGCAGGGGGGAAUAUUGCGCAAUGGGCGGAAGCCUGAUGCAGCAACGCCGCGUGCGGGAUGACGGCCUUCGGGUUGUAAACCGCUUUCGCCUGUGACGAAGCGUGAGUGACGGUAAUGGGUAAAGAAGCACCGGCUAACUACGUG